UGAAAGUGGCUGAGAGUAAAUCCUACGAGUUCUCAUCACCAGGAAAUUUUUUUUUCUAUUUUCUUUAAUGUUAAAACAAACUUAUGAGAAACUGGAU